rnacentral:rRNA from 1 species
GAUGAACGCUGGCGGCGUGCCUAAUACAUGCAAGUCGAGCGAACAGAUGAGGAGCUUGCUCCUCUUACGUUAGCGGCGGACGGGUUAGUAACACGUGGAUAACCUACCUAUAAGACUUGGAUAACUUCGGGAAACCGGAGCUAAUACCGGAUAAUAUAUUUAACCGCAUGGUUCAAUAGUGAAAGACGGUUUUGCUGUCACUUAUAGAUGGAUCCGCGCCGCAUUAGCUAGUUGGUAAGGUAACGGCUUACCAAGGCGACGAUGCGUAGCCGACCUGAGAGGGUGAUCGGCCACACUGGAACUGAGACACGGUCCAGACUCCUACGGGAGGCAGCAGUAGGGAAUCUUCCGCAAUGGGCGAAAGCCUGACGGAGCAACGCCGCGUGAGUGAUGAAGGUCUUCGGAUCGUAAAACUCUGUUAUUAGGGAAGAACAAAUGUGUAAGUAACUAUGCACGUCUUGACGGUACCUAAUCAGAAAGCCACGGCUAACUACGUG